GAGACCUACGGGGGGCAGCAGUGAGGAAUAUUGGUCAAUGGCCGGGAGGCUGAACCAGCCAAGUCGCGUGAGGGAAGACGGCCCUACGGGUUGUAAACCUCUUUUGUCAGGGAGCAAGGUGCAGGUCGGGACCUGCUGUGAGAGUACCUGAAGAAAAAGCAUCGGCUGUCUCCGUGACAGCAGCCGCGGUAAUACGGAGGAUGCGAGCGUUAUCCGGAUUUAUUGGGUUUAAAGGGUGCGCAGGCGGAGGCACAAGUCAGCGGUAAAAUCGCGGGGCACAACCCCGCCCCGCCGUGAAAACUGUG
rnacentral:rRNA from 1 species